rnacentral:rRNA from 1 species
UACACUCCUACGGGAGGCAGCAGUGGGGAAUAUUGGACAAUAGGCGCAAGCCUGAUCCAGCCAUGCCGCGUGAGUGAUGAAGGCCCUAGGGUUGUAAAGCUCUUUCACCGGUGAAGAUAAUGACGGUAACCGGAGAAGAAGCCCCGGCUAACUUCGUGCCAGCAGCCGCGGUAAUACGAAGGGGGCUAGCGUUGUUCGGAUUUACUGGGCGUAAAGCGCACGUAGGCGGACUAUUAAGUCAGGGGUGAAAUCCCGGGGCUCAACCCCGGAACUGCCUUUGAUACUGGUAGUCUUGAGUUCGAGAGAGGUGAGUGGAAUUCCGAGUGUAGAGGUGAAAUUCGUAGAUAUUCGGAGGAACACCAGUGGCGAAGGCGGCUCACUGGCUCGAUACUGACGCUGAGGUGCGAAAGCGUGGGGAGCAAACAGGAUUAGAUACCCUAGUAGUCCC